AUGUCCGACCACAUCGACCUCAACGCCGCCGCCGUCCCCCAAACCCUAGCCCCCGCCAAGCGCGGCCGCGGCCNNNNNNNNNNNNNNNNNNNNNNNNNNNNNNNNNNNNNNNNNNNNNNNNNGUCCCCCAGCAACGCCACUCCCCCGCCCCCCGCGGCGCCGGAUCCGGCCGCCCCACCCCAUGCCCUAGCCGGGUCUGGCUCCCCGGCCACCUUCGCCCCCAAGGACCUGGUCUGGGGCAAGAAGCUCUCCCACCCGUCCUGGCCGGGGGAGGUCCUCUCCGUCGCCUCCGGCGGCACCCAGCUCCUCGUCUCCUUCUUCGGCGAGAAGGCCCUCGCCUGGUGCGACGCGGCCCAGCUCAGGCCCUACGAGGCCUACUUCACCGUGGGGGAGCUCUACGACGGCGACGCCGACGACUUCGACGCCGCCGUCGACGCGUCCCUCGACGAGUUCUCCAGCCGCGUCCAGGCCGCCCUCACCGCCGCCGACGCCCCCGCCUCCCUCAGGCGCCCCUUUGUUCCGCGGGAUUUCCUCGCCUCGCUCCAGGAUUUGGCCGCCGACCGCAUGGGCUUCAGCAACCGGGUGCAGGCCGCCAUCACCAAGGCGCAUCUGAGGGCAUUUGAUGAGUUCAGGGGUCUGCCCGACCCCCCUGUGUACACCUUGGAGCUCGGGAUAGCGAAUGCUGAUGCUUUGGCUGCUCCUUCCCCCAUGGAUCGGGGCAGGAGGAGCGCAAGAGAGGUUAACUGUGACUCGUCGGCGACCCCACCAUCCCGGAGGGGGAGGAAGAGGAAGGAGGAGGUCCAGGAGGCCGAUUCCGAUGAGGACUGGGACCCGCGCAAGAAGGGUGCCAGUGACUCUGAUACUGAUGUGGACAUUGGGCGUAGGAGGGCCCGGAGGGGCAAGGGUAGCGGUAGCGCCGCACCACGCAGUGGCGGUACCGGGAGGCCACGUGGGAGGCCUAGGAAAACGGAUUCUGCUGCGAAGCCCUCACAGCCCGCAAAGGUGAAGGAUGAGGAGGUGGAAGAGAAAAUAGAGUAUCCAUCGGCCGCCGAAUUGUUGGUUCAACUUACAUCAGUUGCUUCUGAUCCAUUCAAUUUCAAGGGUUAUGAUUCUGUGGAUGUGAUCUUUAGCUUCUUCUCAAAACACAAGGACUCGAAAGCGCCGAGCGAGUUGGAUGAUAAAGAGCUGUUGGAGAUAUUUGGUGGUAAGAAAGGAAGGAAAAAGUCCGUUGGAAGUUUUACCAAGGCGAAACAUGAGAUUGAGGCAGAACAACUGGAGUUGGAGACGGCGGAUGGCCAGAGGGGCAGGAGGAAAUCCGCAGGGGGAAUCUACUCGGCUCGAAAGGCGGAAGAUUCUUACUGGUGUGAUAUUAUCAUCAGCGAUUUUGACGAUGGAGACACAUCAAGUGAUUAUGAAGGCCGCAAAAGGAAGCGGGUGUCUCAGAAUAGGAGUGGCAACAAGAAGACGAAGCAGGAGGCGGCGCCUCAGGAUGAGGCUUCUACUGAUCUUCCAGAUAAGAAACCAGCAGAUGGUCCAGCAGCUUUGAUUUUGUACUUUGGUAGUGCAGAUUCCAUUCCUUCAGUGGAUCGUAUCAACAACGUGUUCCGUGCUUAUGGAGCGAUCAUCGAGGGUCAGACUGAGAUCACCAGGAAGUCCAAGACUGCAAAAGUGGUCUUCUCCAACCAUGCUGAUGCGGAGCAAGCCUAUAGCACUUCAGGGAAGUACAAUGCUUUUGGUCCAGCGCUUCUCACAUAUGAAAUUAAAUACCUGCCAUCUGCUCCUCAAAUUCCUUAG
rnacentral:rRNA from 1 species